ACCACAGGCGCAAGCCAACACACCCAGCUAAUUUUUUUUUUAGAGAUAGGGUCUCCUAUGUUUCCUAGGCCUGUCUUGAACUCCCAGGCUCCAGUGAGUCUCCUGCCUCAGCCUCCCAACAUGCUGGGUCACGGGCAGUAGCCACCUCGCCUGGCCAGUUUUUCCUUUACAAAGACUGGAAUGUGGAGCCCAGAAAGAAUCACGUCAGUCUUGACUGGACUCACUGCCCACCUCUGGGACUUUGGCGGUGGGGUGCGAAGGAGGACCUCAAAGGCUCAGCGCGUCCACCCCCAGCCCAGCCACCAGCGCCAGCCGCCUCCUCCACAACACCCAGGCCCUUAUCAGGAAAGGAUUUGGGUUGGUGGGGAGGGGCGGGGGGGAAGUUGGAGGCCCCAGGCUUGGCAAGGUGGGUGAGAGAGAUAGGGAAGUGGGGAGGGGGCUGUGGGCCCCUGCUGGGUGGGGGAGGGCAAUGGGAGGGAUGCCCAGAAUGGGCACGGUGGGGUGCUUUGGCCAAGCUCUGUCCUUGCUGGCCUGGCCCUCAACAUGGUUCCAGGACUUCUGCCUCCCAUCCUUGCCAGGCAAGUUGCCUGCACCUUUAAUUAGCAAGCAGCAGUUUCUCCCCGAUUCAUCACGGUCGCUGUUUAAUUAGCUGAGCCCAGGGCGCCCCCACCCCCAGCUCUGCCUGCUUGUCUCACCAAGGCCGCCACCACCUCAUGGUGUCCCCUGUCACCACUCCCCAUACUUAUUCUGCUCCCCAGAGUGGGGGAUGGGCCCAUAGCUGAAACCUCAAGGAGAUUCUGGGCACCGGCGCUUGUAUUCAAGGCA